rnacentral:antisense_RNA from 1 species
CACCCCACAUACGCAGACACAUCUUACAAGUCCUGUGAGAUAGGGGCUGCCAGCGUCUCCCAGGAUGUGGCCCACCGUGAUCUGAAGUGCCUCUGCUGUCCCCCGGCACCUGGGCACCACCACAGACUGCAAAACAUAGGCACAGCAGGGGGGCACCCCAAGUGAGGGCACCCUUGCCUGCUGUUCCCCACCUGCCAAGGACCUGCCUGCCAUUCAGAAAGCCCCCCGAGAGGCAGGGGUUGCCUGAGGUGUGCAGAAUGAGCUCCCCAUUGGAGGCAUAUGUGAACAAGGGGAUGGCUGGAAUUUGGCAAAGCAUUUAUGGACUGGGGAGCUCGCGGUGCGAGACCAGUAUUCUCAAAGCGUGCUCUACGGAAUGCUACCGCAGGAUCACCUGGGAAGUUCAUCAGAAACGCAGGUCCCUGGAUCCCAGCACGGACCCACUGAAUCAGACUCAGAGGACACAGGGCCUGGAAUCUGGGUUUGUCACAAGCUCCCUCAAAUCUGACUCUCAUGCACAAUGACGUCUUCAAGCCACCGGACCAGAGAACCCCUGAGGUCCAUUCUCCAGAGAGAACCUGGAUUCUCCCCAUUGUGGAGAUGGCAUCAAGAGAGCAGGGUCCCGGCUGGGCGCAGUGGCUCACGCCUGUAAACCCAGCACUCUGGGAGGCUAAGGGGGGCGGAUCACGAGGUAAAGAGAUCAAUAGCAUCCUGGCCAAUAUGGUGAACCCCGUCUCUACUAAAAAUACAAAAAUUAACUGAGCAUGGUGGCAAACGCCUGUAGUCCCAGCUAUUCAGGAGGCUGAGGCAGGAGAAUAGCUUGAACCCAGGAGGUAGAGGUUGC